UUUAAUGUUACAUAAUGGUAGCUAGCUAGCAAGCUAGCUUUUUUAUAAGGGUUAUUAGCUGCACCUUGUGCUGUUGUGCUCUUGUUUUUUAGUGUGGAAGAAUCUGUAAAGCUCAGGAGGGAUAGCGCCAUGGAUGGUCAUUCUUCAUCUCUCUUCUCUUUCCUUUGAUCUUCUCUUGCGCUAUCCAUCCUGAGUUUCAUGGCUUCUCUCCACACACACCAAUGGAACCUUCUUCUCCUUUCUCCCUUUGCUUUUUGUUGUUGGAUUUGUUCAUUCACCAUGCACCCCCACACAAGCAUGAUGAAGUGAGUGGAAGAAUAUGAAGGUGUUAAAGUCUUUCGGGUUUGGUUAAAGUUUUCUCCUUUGAAAUUUCAAAAGUUGAGUAGUCAGAAUUUGGUAUAUGUUAGUGUCUAACAUCAUAUCAUGAGUCACACAAAUAUAAGUUCAAGUAAUAAUAAACUCACAAGAUCAAAUGAA